ACGGGGUGCAGCAGGCGCGAAAACUUCGCAAUGUGGGAAACCACGACGAGGGGAAUCCAAGUGCUUGCACAAUGUGUAGGCUGUUUCUAUGCCUAAAAAGCAUGGAGAGUAAGGGCUGGGUAAGACGGGUGCCAGCCGCCGCGGUAAUACCCGCAGCCCGAGUGGUGGUCGUUAUUAUUGGGCCUAAAACGUCCGUAGCCGGCCCGGUAAAUUCGUGGGGAAAUCGGUCAGCUUAACUGACCGAAGUCCGCGGAGACUGCCGGGCUUGGGACUGGGUGAGGUCAGAGGUACUUCAGGGGUAGGGGUAAAAUCCUGUAAUCCUUGAAGGACCACCAGUGGCGAAGGCGUCUGACUAGAACGGAUCCGACGGUAAGGGACGAAGCCCUGGGGCACAAACGGGAUUAGAUACCCCGGUAGUCCAGGGUGUAAACGCUGUGGGCUUGGUGUUGGGAGUCCCACGAGGGCGCCCAGUGCCGGAGAGAAGUUGUUAAGCCUACUGCCUGGGAGUAUG
rnacentral:rRNA from 1 species